AGGGCAAUCACUCAGUGUUUAGAGCAUCUGCUUUGCAUGCAGAAGGUCGCAGGUUCAAUCCCUGGCAUCCCUUUGCCUUG